rnacentral:lncRNA from 1 species
GGCUUUUGGAGAAUGCGCGUUCCAAACUAUAGCCUGUAGGAGAGUGGCUCAGGGAGCAAGGAGUUGUGAGCUUGAGUGCUAUGUGCACAACCCAGGCUGUGAGACCUUGAAGCUGUCAAAGCAGGAAGACAAACUGAGGCUUCACUUAAGAUAAGGGGGUAGCUAGCCUGGGAAGAGAUCAAGACAGUGGAAUGCGAAGAACAGUGAAAAAUACCGUGUGAUGAUGAAUGCUGUACCAAUAGCUAGCAAGCAAGACACGUGAUUUCUGUGUGCUAACCAAUUAUAAGUUGCCGUGUGUACCCUGUAUUUCUGUAUAAGUAUGAGCUGAUUCGGGCAAUAAAGGAUUAGAGGAGUUUCCACCAGUACUUCUGUGAAGACGCGUGGAUUCAUUCAGGCCGCC